rnacentral:rRNA from 1 species
GACGAACGCUGGCGGCGUGCUUAACACAUGCAAGUCGAACGGAAAGGCCCUGCUUUUGUGGGGUGCUCGAGUGGCGAACGGGUGAGUAACACGUGAGUAAACUGCCCCUGACUUUGGGAUAACUUCAGGAAACUGGGGCUAAUACCGGAUAGGAGCUCCUGCUGCAUGGUGGGGGUUGGAAAGUUUCGGCGGUUGGGGAUGGACUCGCGGCUUACCAGCUUGUUGGUGGGGUAGUGGCUUACCAAGGCUUUGACGGGUAGCCGGCCUGAGAGGGUGACCGGCCACAUUGGGACUGAGAUACGGCCCAGACUCCUACGGGAGGCAGCAGUGGGGAAUAUUGCACAAUGGGCGGACGCCUGAUGCAGAAACGCCGCGUGCGGGAUGACGGCCUUCGGGUUGUGAACCGCUUUCGCCUGUGACGAAGCGUGAGUGACGGUAAUGGGUAAAGAAGCACCGGCUAACUACGUG